AGUCCAAAACUUGGGGAACAUCAUAAUAUUGUGGGAGGAGUCAUUUGGUGGGUUUUGAGUGAAAUCCAAUCUCUCGAACUAUACAAUACACCAACUACCGCAUUUCCGAACGAACUUCGUACGAAACUGAAUUGUCCGAUUUCAAGCUCCAAUCGAUAUCGGAUUGAGUCCAAAACUUGGGGAACAUCAUAAUAUUGUGGGAGGAGUCAUCUGGUGGGUUUUGAGUGAAAUCCAAUCCCUAGAACUAUACAAUACACCAACCACUCCAUUUUAGAACGAACUUCGUACGAACCUGAAUUGUCCGAUUACAAGGGCCAAUCGAUAUCGGAUUGAGGCCAAAACUUCGGAAACAACAUAAUAUUGUGGGAGGAGUCAUUUGGUGGAUUUUGAGUGAAAUCCAAUCUCUAGAACUAUACAAUACACCAACCACCCCAUGUCACAUGCCGGGAUCAACUCCACCGUAGCACGAUAUUUUCCGCUUUGGGCCCCCCCUCUGCCCGUACGAUUUUGUUUCUGGGAGCUCACGAGUAACUUCCCAGUGGGUCACCCAUCCUGGGAUUGCUCUGGCACUCAACUCGCUUAACUUCGGAGUUCCUACGACUCCGAAGCCAGUGAGCUCCCAAAAGGCCUCGUGCUAGAUGGAUGUGGGUGUGCACAUAUAAGGCACAUCACCCCCUCUCCGUUUGGUUGAUGUGGGAUCUUACAAUCCACCCCCCUUAAGGGCCCGACGUCCUCGUCGGCACACUCGCAGCACACGGCAGAGUGGCUCUGAUACCAAAUUGUCACACCCGGGAUCGGCUCCCCCGUAGCACAAUAUUGUCCGCUUUGGGCCCCCCUCACUGCCCUCACGGUUUUGUUUCUGGGAACUCUUGAGUAACUUCCCAGUGGGUCACCCAUCUUGGGAUUGCUCUAGCCCCCAACUCGCUUAACUUCGGAGUUCCUACGACUCCGAAGCCAGUGAGCUCCCAAAAAGCCUCGUGCUAGAUGGAUGCGAGUGUGCACAUAUAAGGCACAUCACCCCCUCUCCGUUGGUUGAUGUGGGAUCUUACAAUCCACCCCCCUUAAGGGCCCGACGUCCUCGUCGGCACACUCUCACCACACGGCAGAGUGGCUCUGAUACCAAAUUGUCACACCCCUGGAUCGGCUCCGCCGUAGCACGAUAUUGUCCGCUUUGGGCCCCCCUCACUGCCCUCACGGUUUUGUUUCUGGGAACUCACGAGCAACUUCCCAGUGGGUCACCCAUCCUGGGAUUGGUCUAGCCCCCAACUCGCUUAACUUCGGAGUUCCUACGACUCCGAAGCCAAUGAGCUCCCAAAAGGCCUCGUGCUAGAUGGAUGCACAUAUAAGGCACAUCACCCCUUCUCCGUUGGUUGAUGUGAGAUCUUCCAAUCCACCCCCUUAAGGACCCGACAUCCUCGUCGGCACACUCGCACCACACGGCAGAGUGGCUCUGAUACCAAAUUGUCACAUCCAGGGAUCGGCUCCGCCGUAGCACGAUAUUGUCCGCUUUGGGCCCCCCUCUCUGCCCUUACGGUUUUGUUUCUAGGAACUCACGAGCAACUUCCCAGUGGGUCACUCAUCCUGGGAUUGCUCUAGCCCCUAACUCGCUUAACUUCGGAGUUCCUACGACUCCGAAGCCGGUGAGCUCCCAAAAGGCCUCGUGCUAGAUGGAUGCGGGUGUGCACAUAUAAGGCACAUCACCCCCUCUCCGUUGGUUGAUGUGGGAUCUUACACCCCAUUUAUGAACGAACUUCGUACGAACCUGAAUUUUCCGAUUUCAAGGACCAAUCGAUAUUGGAUUGAGUCCAAAACUUGGGUAACAUCAUAAUAUUAUGGGAGGAGUCAUUUGGUGGGCUUUGAGUGAAAUCCAAUCCCUAGAACUUACAAUACACCAACCACUCCAUUUCAUGACGAACUUCGUAUGAACAUGGAUUGUCCGAUUUCAUGGACCAGUCGAUAUCGGAUUGAGUCCAAAACUUGGGAAACGUUGUAAUAUUGAGGGAGGAGUGAUUUGUUGCAUUUUGAGUGAAAUCCAAUCCCCAGAACUAUACAAUACACCAACCACUCCAUUUAAGAACGAACUUCGUACGAACCUGAAUUGUCAGAUUUCGAGGACCAAUCGAUAUCGUAUUGAGUCCAAAACUUGGGGAACAUGAUAGUAUUGUGGGAGGAGUCAUUUGGUGGGUUUUGAGUGAAAUCCAAUCCCUAGAACUAUACAAUACAUUAGCCAUUCCAUUUCAAAACGAACUUCGUACAAACCUGAAUUGUCAAAUUUCGUGGACCAAUCGAUAUCGGAUUGAGUCCAAAACUUGGGGAACAUCAUAAUAUUGUGGGAGGAGUCAUUUGGUGGCUUUUGAGUGAAAUCCAAUCUCUAGAACUAUACAAUACACCAACUACCCCAUUUCAGAACGAACUUCGUUGGAACCUGAAUAGUCCGAUUUCAAGGACCAGUCGAUAUCGGAUUGAGUCCAAAACUUGGGGAACAUCAUAAUAUUGUGGGAGGAGUCAUUUGGUGGCUUUUGAGUGAAAUCCAAUCUUUAGAACUAUACAAUACACCAACCACCCCAUUUCAGAACGAACUUCGUACGAACCUGAAUUGUCCAAUUUCAAGGACCAACAGAUAUCGGAUUGAGUCCGAAACUUGGGGAACAUCAUAAUAUUGGGGAGUUGUCAUUUGGUGGGUUUUGAGUGAAAUCCAAUCCCUAGAACUAUACAAUACACCAAAAACUUCAUUUCAGAAAAAACUUGUUGAGCCUAUUGUUAACAACUAAAAUGAGUUAUUAAAAACAGCAACUUUAAUUCUCGCAAGUGCACGAACCGUUUAUAGUAUAGCUUAUGUAAAUACGAGGUCGAUCCCACGGAGAAUGGUAACUUGGUUCCAAGUUAAAUUACUUAGAAUGUUAGAAAAAUAUAGAACAAAGAAACUGACUAACUAGCUAAAGGCAUGGUCGAAUUCAACAAUGCCUCUUGCUAAUUACUCAAGGUCUAGGACAGAAUCCUAGCACCACACACGCACUCGAAAUGGGGGGUUUUUUUGUUGAAAUGAAAACAAGAAAGUGAAAUGAAAGUGCUCGAAAGUGAACACUGGCAGCAAUCAACAAGUUGUGAAACAAUGAUUGAGAGGUGUUAGAGCCUUGGAAUCCACCACUAGUUUUCCUAUCCAAGUUAUGAAUGCAUAGAAAUUGACUCAAGCUUCAUUAGCAAUAGAUUAUCGCAUACAAGCCUAUGGUAUCUAGGUGCAGGAUGCAUGAUUCUCCUAAGGCAUGUGAUUAUGCAUGGUAUCUACACAACACGUGAUCUCUAAUAUGCAACCUAAGCAUGGUAUCUACUUAGAAUAAAGCAUACAAGAGUCAUUAAGCUCCUUGAGAAUAUGAUAAUCACACAAGUCCUAGAACAUGGUAUCUGUCCUAGUCAACCUAUGGUUAUUAACCCCUUGAAUGAUUCUUAGGCCAUUCAUGUGUUGCUUGUGAAAGGAGAGUAGAAUUGGUGAAUCUAAACCCCUUCCCAACCUGUGCUAGAUGCAUAAAAUCCUAGUUAGCUACUCCAAGAGAACAUACAUCAAGCACAUAAUAAACUAGAGAUUAACAACUUAAUAAUAAAAGCAAGGAAAUCAAUUAACUAUAAAAUCAUCCAUAACAUUGAAUAUUCAUGACUAGGGCUUCACCCUAAGCCCUAACUAAAUGGAUUAGUUAGACAUAACUAUGAAUACAGAAAAUAAGAAAUACAUAGAUAGGAUAAAGAGACGAGAAGAACUAGAUGAUGGGAGCAAGGAAGUUCCCAGGACAGCUCCAAGCUCCCUUCUCUCUUUGUGGUGAAUCUGAAUGUGUAUAUGAAAGUAAUGGAUGAAAUGAAUGUGUGUGUCUGCCCUCUCUCCCCUUGAAAGAGUGUGCAACUCUCUAUUUAUAGAGUGCAAUUUCGUGCUCCCCUUUGGCUGGUGAAGCACACCUCUCUUAGCUGCUGCCAACUGCUCUAGCUGCCCAUACAUGCCUGUUGCUCCAGCUGCCCAUACUUGCCUGUUGCUCCAGCUGCCCAUACUUGCCUGUUGGACUUUUCUUGGUUUUUGAGUUCCCAUACUGAUUUGUCUCCCAUGUGUGGCUGCUCUAAUGUGUAGCACAUGGCUCUAGGGAUGUAGCCACAUUAAAUAUGAUGGCAGCCAACAUGACAUUUCUGCGAACUUGGUUCAGUCUUUGACGUGUUGAGGGCUCCAGUUGUAUCCAAUUGGGCUGAACUUUGGAUAUGUUAUAAUAGACGCCCAUUGGAACAACGUCUAUGAAGGAUGUCUCCUCAUCUGACCUGUGUAAGUUACUGAAAUGAGGCCUGCAAGAUGACCUACGAAACUGGACUGACAAGGAGUGUGGCACAAAUUGGUUUUGUCUUUAAGCUCAUAUUCCACUUGUGCCACUCAGCCCUUAACAUGCAUGAAUUGUAUCAAAUGUCAUCCCCUUGCUAUAUUAACCUACAAAGCACACAAACAUAGGUAAGAGACUCAAAAUAAAGAGAAGCUAACAAAAUUACUAAGGAAAGAAGGCAUGCAAAUGUGUGAAAUUAUGAACUUAUCAAAUACCCCAAAACUUAGAUUUUGCUAGUCCUCGAGCAAAACAAAAUAAAACUACAACUUAGGAAACAGGAAAUAAGCAACUAGCCUUCCAAACAAUAUCCUCAAAGAAUCAUCAGUGUAAAUGGUUCCAAAGAAACACAACAAUCACAAUCUAAGUUCCACACAUGAUUCACGAGAAAGCAAAGCUAGCAUUGACACCCUUAAGUGUAGUGUGUGAAUGCCAAAUCCGAACAACACCUGCAUCUCAAAUAAGUACAUGUGCACACACUUAGAGCAAAAUCAAGAAUUCCGAACCCCAUAAGCUCAUUAUCCAAUCUGCUCUCCACAGUAAUACCAUGCAACACCAAGGAUCAAAAGGACUUUACAAGGGUAGUAAUGAGGUUUAGGGUAGUGGUUGAAUGAAAGAAGGGAUAUGAGAUAUACAAUAUUUUGAGCACACUUAAAGCACAGGUAAGAGCAUAAGAGAGUACUGAACUUUGUAACAAGCAAGGAACACAUACAUGAGCAGAUUUUCAACAUAAUUUCAGCACCUUGAAAUGUGUUUAUUUGGCCUAAUUUUGUGGCUCUUUACCCUAGAUCACAAUGAUGUUCUCCUUAUAACACCCUAGGGCCGUGACUACAUUGGUCACACUUCAUUACCUCUUUUGAUUAGUUACCAAUACCCCCAAACUUAUUUCUUUUCAACACUUGGGUUACGGCACCAAUUAUUCACUUUUGCUCUAUAAACCUUGCAUUCUUUAUAACUCUCUUUUGAAGAUAACUUUAAUUGCUCAUACAAUAAGUAAGGAUAAGAAAACAGAGGCUCAUUAUGGUAGGAUUCAUUUACACAAAGAAAGGCUUAACGUAGGCUCAAAUGGGAUGACUAGGGAUGAAUACAUGUAGAGGGAUGGUUAGAAAGGCUCAAACGGUUCAAACAUGGCCUAAAUCACUUCCUAAGCAUUGUAUGGCAACAAAAUGUCUCAAGAAAUAUUCAAAUAAGUUCUAGAGUACGAAACCAAGAUCAUGAGAUAACUAGAAUUGCAUAACGUCUCUAAGUAGCAAGAUGUUGGACUAACUUGGCAAAGUGCUCAAUAAGUGCAAGGAUGGCAUGCAGGACAAAGUUAACUUAGAAUCACACGCAGACCUUAAACAAUGACUAUCAAUUUCUGAAAAACCAUAAUAGUAUUAAAUCUAAGUCUUUAUCAUAGGUGUUUGGAAGGAUAACGAAACAACACACAAAAUCCUGCGUUUUUAGACAGUAGACACACUCAAAAAUUUUAAAAUUUGACAAUUUGAAACAGCAUAACUAAAUCCUUCCCCCCAAACUUAAAUGAAACAUUGUCCUCAAUGUUUAGAGUGUAAGAAAAAGCAAUGCCUCAUUAAUGAAAGGAAAGAAGACAAGGGAAAGACAUAACCAAAGGUUAGAUUUCAGAAAAACUCCCCUUUGAAGCGAUUAGGAUGCAAGCAAGCUUCCUCGCAUAUUCUAUCUUCUCCUCAUCACCUUGGGUUGCCUCCCAAGAAGCGCUAAGUUUCACGUCGUCAGCCGGACGUCCAAACUCUGGUGAGCUUUAAGAGAGUGGUGGAGGCUCCUUGAGUGCUUGAGACUCAAUAUUGGCAUCAAAGUUGGCAUCGAAGUAAGGUUUCAACCGAUGUCCAUUCACCUUGAAGGUGCUGCCAUCCUUAAUGUUUUGAAUCUCCACUGCGCCAUGAUUAAACACAUUAGUAAUAACAAAAGGGCCAAUCCACCGAGAACAAAGCUUACCUGGGAAGAGCUUAAGGCGUGAAUUGAAUAAGAGAACCUUCUGCCCUUUCUCAAACGUCUUCCUAAGAAUUUUCUUGUCGUGAUAUUGCUUUGUUUUCUCCUUGUAAAGCUUCGCAUUCUUAUACGCUUCAUGUCUCAACUCCUCCAGCUCAUUGAGUUGAAGCCUCCUCUUCUCACCAGCGGCUUUCAUAUCAAAAUUGAAGGCCUUGAUUGCCCAAUAAGCCCUGUGCUCAAGCUCCACUGGUAAGUGACAAGGUUUACCGAAAAUAAGUCUAUACGGAGACAUACCUAUAGGGGUCUUAUAAGCAGUCCUAUAAGCCCACAAUGCAUCAUCCAAACGCAUGGACCAAUCCUUCCUUGUGGUGUUCACUGUCUUUUCAAGUAUGUACUUAAUCUCCCUAUUGCUUAUAUCAACCUGCCCACUAGUUUGAGGAUGAUAGGGUGUUGCCACCUUAUGCGUGAUUCCAUAUCUCUUCAAGAGUGCUGCAAAAGCUUGGUUAACAAAGUGGGAGCCACCAUCACUAAUGAUUGCUCUAGGUGUGCCAAACCUUGUAAAAAUAUUUCCUUUGAGAAAACCGAUCACAACUUUAGCAUCAUUAGUUCUAGUGGCAAUGGCUUCCACCCAUUUAGAAACAUAAUCGACAGAAACUAAUAUAUAUUCAAAUCCAUAAGAGGUAGGAAAAGGGCCCAUGAAAUCAAUUCCCCAAACAUCAAAUAUAUCAAUGAUUAAGAUAUUGGUGAGAGGCAUCUGGUUUCUAGCAUGUAAAUUACCCAUCCGUUGGCAUCUAUCACAUGAAGCACAAAAAACAUAAGCAUCCUUAAAAAGGGUAGGCCAAAAGAAACCUGAUUGUAGCACCUUGCUGGCAGUCUUCUUUGCUCCAAAAUGGCCUCCGCAUGCGUGGGAGUGACAAAACUCCAGAAUGCUCUUAAAAUCACCUUCAGGCACACACCUUCGAAUUACUUGGUCUGGACAAUGCUUGAAUAGAUAGGGAUCAUCCCAAAAGUAGUAUCUUGCUUGCUUCCUAAGCUUGUCACGUUGGAACGUAGAUAACCCUGUAGGGAGUUCGUUAGUGCACAAAUAGUUAACAAUAUCAGCAAACCAAGGCAAUGGAUUGAGAGAAUUCAAAGCACAAAUGGAGAAGAGUUGCUCAUCAGGGAAGCUUUCACGCAAUGGCAAUGAAUCCUCCUCUUCGUUAGAUACAUGCACCAAUCUACUCAAGUGAUCAGCCACGACAUUCUCACUUCCUUUCUUAUCUUUUAUCUCCAAGUCAAACUCUUGCAACAAGAGAAUCCAUCUAAUGAGUCGCGGUUUGGCAUCCUUCUUAGCUAACAAGUAUUUCAAUGCUGCAUGAUCAGUGUAAACAAUAACCUUGUUAGUAAUCAAAUAUGAUCUAAACUUCUCUAAAGCAAAUAUGACGGCUAACAACUCCUUCUCUGUGGUGGAAUAGUUGAGUUGGGCAUCGUUGAGGGUUCUACUAGCAUAGUAGAUGGCAUGUGGCUUCUUAUCAACUCGCUGUCCCAAAACAGCUCCAACAACAUAAUCUGAGGCAUCACACAUCAAUUCAAAGGGCAAGCUCCAAUCCGGUGGUAUAAUGACUGGGGCAGUUGUGAGCAUCUUCUUCAAAGCAUUGAAAGCAUUCUCACAGUCUUGAUCAAACACAAAAUCCAUGUCCUUGGCAAGGAGAUUGCACAUAGGCCUUGCAAUCUUAGAAAAAUCCUUAAUGAAACGCCUAUAGAAACCUGCAUGGCCAAGGAAAGAACGUACUUCUUUGACAGAAGUAGGUGAGGGCAUAGAGGCAAUCAAAUCAAUCUUAGCUUUAUCUACCUCAAUUCCUUUACUAGAGAUGACAUGACCAAGAACUAUGCCUUGGUUAACAAUAAAAUGACAUUUUUCCCAAUUAAGCACAAGGUUAGUAUGUUCACAUCUAGCCAACACCUUGGAUAAGUUAUGCAAGCAUUGAUCAAAAGAAUCACCAAAGACAGAGAAGUCAUCCAUGAAUACCUCAAUGAACCUUUCUACCAUGUCGGAGAAAAUGCUCAUCAUGCACCUUUGAAAAGUGGCUGGGGCGUUACAGAGACCAAAAGGCAUCCUCCUAUAGGCGAAAGUGCCAAAGGGACAUGUGAACGUGGUCGAUCCGCAGGCCGUGCAGCUAUGGCGAUUUGGUUGUAGCCUGAAUAUCCAUCAAGGAAGCAAUAGUGGCUAUGCCCAGCUAAUCUCUCAAGCAUUUGAUCAAUGAAUGGAAGAGGAAAGUGAUCUUUGCUUGUUGCUGUGUUGAGCUUCCUAUAAUCAAUGCAAACUCUCCAGCCCGUGGUCAUCCGUGUAGGUACAAGCUCGUUUGCUUCAUUCUUCACCACUGUGAUACCUGACUUCUUGGGGACAACUUGCACUGGGCUCACCCAUUGACUGUCAGAAAUAGGGUAAAUAAUACCAACAUUUAAAAGCUUCAUUACCUCUUUUCUUACCACCUCCUUCAUGUUUGGAUUGAGACGUCUUUGGGCAUCCCUCUUAGGCAUUGCAUUGUCUUCCAAUAAUAUCUUGUGCAUGCACAGUGUUGGGCUUAUGCCUUUGAUAUUUGCAAUGCUCCACCCAAUCGCAGUUUUGUGCUCUUUUAGAACUCUCAAAAGCUUCUUUUCAUCAUUUGGUCCGAGAUGUGAGGCAAUGAUAACAGGUAGAGUCUCAUUUUCACCUAAAUAAGCAUAUUUAAGGUGUUUUGGCAAUUGCUUUAAUUCCAACUCUGGUGCCUGCACAAUAGAAGGUAAAACCUUAUUAGUAGGUGGGGGUAAUGAUUCAAAUUGGUUUGCAUACCUCUUUCCAAUUUCUAUGUAGCUAUCCAUGCUGCAAACAAGCUCAAGAAGUAAAAAGAUCACAGCCUCAAAGCUGUCCACUUCUUCUUUCCUUAUGCUUUGUGUGAUGCAUGCUUCAAUGGGCUCCAAAUAACUCAUUGGCAGUGCUUCUUUCACCAUAGUAUCAAUUGCAUCAAGAUGGAAAACUUCAUGCUCAUCACUUGGAAACUUGGAGGCUUCAAACACUUUGAAUGCUAUUGUCUCAUCAAACACAUUCAUGGUCAAUGUACCCUUCUUCACAUCAAUAAUAGCACCGGCAGUUGCCAUGAAUGGCCGACCUAGAAUGAGUGGUAACUGAUUGUCAUGAAUUGGUGCUUCUUCCAUCUCCAACACCAAGAAAUCUGCUGGCAAAAUUAGCUCUUCCACUUUCACCAAAACAUCUUCUAGAAUGCCCUUAGGGUACCUAAUAGUUCUAUCUGCCAAUUGAAUGCUCACAGAUGUGGCUUGCAACUCACCAAGGUUAAGUUUCUCAUAAACAUGAUAUGGCAUAAGAUUUAUAGAAGCACCAAGAUCAAGCAAAGCUUUUUGAAACUUAAAAUCACCAACUAUGCAAGGUAUAGAAAACGAACCUGGAUCCUUUAGCUUUGGAGGCAGGUUUCUUUGUAACACUGCACUUACCUCUUCACUCAAUGCAACUUGUUCAUGCUCUUUGAAUCUCCUCUUGUUAGUGCAUAGAUCCUUCAAAAAAUUUGCAUACUUUGGAAUCUGAGUAAUGGCAUUGAGCAAUGGGAUGUUGAUUUGCACCUUCUUGAAUGUUUCCAUUAUCUCAUCCAAGCCUUGAUCUUUCUUUGACUUUGAUAACCUGCUGGGAAAGGGUGCAAUAGGCCUAAAAGCAUUAGUUGAAAUUGGAACUUGAUUAGCAUUAGAUGAUACCUUAGGGCCUGUGCUCUUUCCAGGAGCAUUGAUGGACUGAUUGUUGGAAGCUGUGGGCUGCCCAUGUGGUGGCUGAAUGAUCUCCACGUUUUCUCCAUCUUCUUGUUCUUCAUUGGCAUCUCCAACCUUAUUAUCAACUUGUUUACCACUUCUCAAGAUGUGUACUGCUUUAGCAUGCUCUUGAUGCCUUGGAUUCACCUCCGUUUGGCUUGGGAAAGUUCCGGAUGCUCUAUUGCUCAUGGAGGAUGCAAUCUGCCCAACUUGCACUUCUAGUUUGUUCACUGCAUUUUGAAGAUUCUGAUUGGUUUGCAUCUGUUGCCCCAUGAACUUCUUGAACAUGUCUUGCAAUUCUCCCAUUUGAUCACCCCUUUGCUCUUGCACUUGUUGCGGAGCUUGUUGGAAUUGCCUUUGUUGUGUUUGGAAUCCUGGGGGAGGUCCUUGAGAUUGUUGCACAUUUGAAUUGUUGCUCCACCUGAAAUUAGGAUGAUUUCUCCACCCCGGAUUGUAUGUGUUUGAGUAAGGAUCAUUAUUAGGAUUCCUUGCUUGAAGGGAAUUUGCUUGUUCUAGCAUGUGCUCCGCAAAAGAUUGGUCUACAAACUUCCACUUUGUUUCCUAGAGGGCCAGUCACUGCCUGUUGAAGCAAAGAACACAUAACAUCAAGUUUUGCAGCAAUUUCAUUAUUAGUACUUACCUCAGAGACCACAGCUUUCAUAGGAGCUCCUCUUCCUUUAUUGUGGCUCCAUUGUUGAGAGUUAGCACUCAAGGAUUCAAAGAGAGUAAAAGCCUCAUCUGCUGUUUUGUUCAUCAGUCCUUCUCCACUUGUUGAAUCUACCAUCAUCCUUUCGGAAUCAAGUAAACCUUCAUAGAAAGAUUGCAUUUGCAUCCAACUCUCUAUGUUGUGGUGUGGGCAAGAACUUAUCAUCUCCUUGUACCUCUCCCAACAUUCAUGAAAAGCUUCUCCUUCCUUUUGUGUGAAACCAAGAAUUUCCUUUCUAAUCUUGUUAGUCUUUUGAGCCGGAAAAAAUUUCUGCAAAAACUUAUUAGAAAGCUCUUCCCAAGUAUGAAUUGAAGCAUUAGGAAAAGAGUAUAACCAAGACUUAGCUUUAUCUUUUAAACUGAAUGGGAAUAGCCUCAUCUUAAUCUGCUCAUCAUCAAGGUUUUGAAUUUUGAUCGUAGCACAUAUUUCAAAGAAUUGCUUAAUAUGCAUGUAAGGAUCCUCAGUGGUAUUACCAUAAUAAGUUGGAAGAAGAUGAAUCAUACCACUUUUAAGCUCAAACCUGUCAACUGUGAGUUGAGGAUAGACGAUGCAUAAAGGUUGAUCGGUGACUUUGGGAAUGGAAAACUCACGCAGGGAUUUUCUUGGUUGGACAACAAGCACACCACCUCCUUCAUCAUUGUUGUUGUUCGAAAUCUCUACCAUGUUGCUUGAACCUUCAGAUUCGUAACUUUUAGAUUCAACGCUUGAAGAACUAUAGUUCUUCCUCAAACCAGCAUGCACAGCAGCGGUUCUUGGUGAAAGUGGCUCAGGUGAACUUUGCUCCUGGUCAGAUUCGGACAUGCACACACCAAGGAAGUCAAUUCAGUGCCUUCAAUGGAGAUAACAACAAAAUACAAAACUGAAUACUAAAAGAAAAACCAACGAAAAGAAACAAAUGAAAUAAACAAAAACAAAACAAUCAAAGUAAUCUAACUAUAGCACCAUCAUUACCGGUUCCCCGGCAACGGCGCCAAAAACUUGUUGAGCCUAUUGUUAACAACUAAAAUGAGUUAUUAAAAACAGCAACUUUAAUUCUCGCAAGUGCACGAACCGUUUAUAGUAUAGCUUAUGUAAAUACGAGGUCGAUCCCACGGAGAGUGGUAACUUGGUUCCAAGUUAAAUUACUUAGAAUGUUAGAAAAAUAUAGAACAAAGAAACUGACUAACUAGCUAAAGGCAUGGUCGAAUUCAACAAUGCCUCUUGCUAAUUACUCAAGGUCUAGGACAGAAUCCUAGCACCACACACGCACUCGAAAUGGGGGGUUUUGUUGUUGAAAUGAAAACAAGGAAGUGAAAUGAAAGUGCUCGAAAGUGAACACUGGUAGCAAUCAACAAGUUGUGAAACAAUGAUUGAGAGGUGUUAGAGCCUUGGAAUCCACCACUAGUUUUCCUAUCCAAGUUAUGAAUGCAUAGAAAUUGACUCAAGCUUCAUUAGCAAUAGAUUAUCGCAUACAAGCCUAUGGUAUCUAGGUGCAGGAUGCAUGAUUCUCCUAAGGCAUGUGAUUAUGCAUGGUAUCUACACAACACGUGAUCUCUAAUAUGCAACCUAAGCAUGGUAUCUACUUAGAAUAAAGCAUACAAGAGUCAUUAAGCUCCUUGAGAAUAUGAUAAUCACACAAGUCCUAGAACAUGGUAUCUGUCCUAGUCAACCUAUGGUUAUUAACCCCUUGAAUGAUUCUUAGGCCAUUCAUGUGUUGCUUGUGAAAGGAGAGUAGAAUAGGUGAAUCUAAACCCCUUCCCAACCUAUGCUAGAUGCAUAAAAUCCUAGUUAGCUACUCCAAGAGAACAUACAUCAAGCACAUAAUAAACUAGAGAUUAACAACUUGAUAAUAAAAGCAAGGAAAUCAAUUAACUAUAAAAUCAUCCAUAACAUUGAAUAUUCAUGACUAGGGCUUCAUCCUAAGCCCUAACUAAAUGGAUUAGUUAGACAUAACUAUGAAUACAGAAAAUAAGAAAUACAUAGAUAGGAUAAAGAGACGAGAAGAACUAGAUGAUGGGAGCAAGGAAGUUCCCAGGACAGCUCCAAGCUCCCUUCUCUCUUUGUGGUGAAUCUGAAUGUGUGUAUGAAAGUAAUGGAUGAAAUGAAUGUGUGUGUCUGCCCUCUCUCCCCUUGAAUGAGUGUGCAACUCUCUAUUUAUAGAGUGCAAUUUCGUGCUCCCCUUUGGCUGGUGAAGCACACCUCUCUUAGCUGCUGCCAACUGCUCUAGCUGCCCAUACAUGCCUGUUGCUCCAGCUGCCCAUACUUGCCUGUUGGACUUUUCUUGGUUUUUGAGUUCCCAUACUGAUUUGUCUCCCAUGUGUGGCUGCUCUAAUGUGUAGCACAUGGCUCUAGGGAUGUAGCCACAUUAAAUAUGAUGGCAGCCAACACGAUAUUUCUGUGAACUUGGUUCAGUCUUUGACGUGUUGAGGGCUCCAGUUUUAUCCAAUUGGGCUGAAAUUUGGAUAUGUUAUAAUAGACACCCAUUGGAACAACGUCUAUGAAGGAUGUCUCCUCAUCCGACCUGUGUAAGUUACUGAAAUGAGGCCUGCAAGAUGACCUACGAAACUGGACUGACAAGGAGUGUGGCACAAAUUGGUUUUGUCUUUAAGCUCAUAUUCCUCUUGUGCCACUCAGCCCUUAACAUGCAUGAAUUGUAUCAAAUGUCAUCCCCUUGCUAUCUUAACCUACAAAGCACACAAACAUAGGUAAGAGACUCAAAAUAAAGAGAAGCUAACAAAAUUACUAAGGAAAGAAGGCAUGCAAAUGUGUGAAAUUAUGAACUUAUCAAAUACCCCCAAACUUAGAUUUUGCUAGUCCUCGAGCAAAACAAAAUAAAACUACAACUUAGGAAACAGGAAAUAAGCAACUAGCCUUCCAAACAAUAUCCUCAAAGAAUCAUCAGUGUAAAUGGUUCGAAAGAAACACAACAAUCACAAUCUAAGUUCCACACAUGAUUCACGAGAAAGCAAAGCUAGCAUUGACACCCUUAAGUGUAGUGUGUGAAUGCCAAAUCCGAACAACACCUGCAUCUCAAAUAAGUACAUGUGCACACACUUAGAGCAAAAUCAAGAAUGCCGAACCCCAUAAGCUCAUUAUUCAAUCUGCUCUCCAUAGUAAUACCAUGCAACACCAAGGAUCAAAAGGAGUUUACAAGGGUAGUAAUGAGGUUUAGGGUAGUGGUUGAAUGAAAGAAGGGAUAUGAGAUAUACAAUAUUUUGAGCACACUUAAAGCACAGGUAAGAGCAUAAGAGAGUACUGAACUUUGUAACAAGCAAGGAACACAUACAUGAGCAGAUUUUCAACAUAAUUUCAGCACCUUGAAAUGUGUUUAUUUGGCCUAAUUUUGUGGCUCUUACCCUAGAUCACAUUGAAAUGUGNNNNNNNNNNNNNNNNNNNNNNNNNNNNNNNNNNNNNNNNNNNNNNNNNNNNNNNNNNNNNNNNNNNNNNNNNNNNNNNNNNNNNNNNNNNNNNNNNNNNNNNNNNNNNNCUCCUCGCUCAUUGCGACAGUAGUGUAUUUCAACACUUGGGUUACGGCACCAAUUAUUCACUUUUGCUCAAUAAACCUUGCAUUCUUUAUAACUCUCUUUUGAAGAUAACUUUAAUUGCUCAUACAAUAAGUAAGGAUAAGAAAACAGAGGCUCAUUAUGGUAGGAUUCGUUUACACAAAGAAAGGCUUAACAUAGGCUCAAAUGGGAUGACUAGGGAUGAAUACAUGUAGAGGGAUGGUUAGAAAGGCUCAAACGGUUCAAACAUGGCCUAAAUCACUUCCUAAGCAUUGUAUGGCAACAAAAUGUCUCAAGAAAUAUUCAAAUAAGUUCUAGAGUACGAAACCAAGAUCAUGAGAUAAGUCCGAUUUCAAGGACCAAUCGAUAUCAGAACGAACUUCGUUGGAACCUGAAUAGUCCGAUUUCAAGGACCAAUCGAUAUCGGAUUGAGUCCAAAACUUGGGGAACAUCAUAAUAUUGUGGGAGGAGUCAUUUGGUGGCUUUUGAGUGAAAUCCAAACUUUAGAACUAUACAAUACACCAACCACCCCAUUUCAGAACGAACUUCGUACGAACCUGAAUUGUCCGAUUUCAAGGACCAAUCGAUAUCGGAUUGAGUCCAAAACUUGGGGAACAUCAUAAUAUUGUGGGAGUUGUCAUUUGGUGGGUUUUGAGUGAAAUCCAAUCCCUAGAACUAUACAAUACACCAAAAACUUCAUUUCAGAACGAACUUCGUACGAACUUGAAUUGUCUGAUUUCAUGGACCAUUCGAUAUCAGAUUGAGUCCAAAACUUGGGGGACAUCAUAGUAUUGUGGGAGGAGUCAUUUGGUGGCUUUUGGGUGAAAUCCAAUCCAGACAACUAUAAAAUACACCGACCACUCCAUUUCAGAACGACCUUCAUACGAACUUGAACUGUCAGAUUUCAUUGACUAAUCGAUAUCGGAUUGAGUCCAAAACUUGGGGAACACCAUAAUAUUAUGGGAGGAGUCAUUUGGUGGGUUUUGAGUGAAAUCCAAUCUCUAGAACUAUACAAUACACCGACCACCCCAUUUCAGAACAAACUUCGUACGAACCUGAAUUGUCCGAUUUCAAGGACCAAUCGAUAUCGGAUUGAGUCCAAAACUUGGGGAACAUCAUAAUAUUGUGGGAGGAGUCAUUUGGUGGGUUUUGAGUGAAAUCCAAUCCCUAGAACUAUACAAUACACCAACCACCCCAUUUCAAAACGAACUUCGUACGAAACUGAAUUGUCUGAUUUCAUUGACCAAUUGAUCACAGAUUGAGUCCAAAACUUGGGGAACAUCAUAAUAUUGUGGGAGGAGUCAUUUGGUAAGUUUUCAGUGCAAUACAAUCCCUAGAACUAUACAAUACACCAACCACUCCAUUUCAGAACGAACUUCGUACAAACCUGAAUUGUCAAAUUUCGUGGACCACUCGAUAUCCGAUUGAGUCCGAAACUUGGGGAACAUCAUAAUAUUGUGGGAGGAGUCAUUUGGUGGGUUUGAGUGAAAUCCAAUCUCUAGAACUANNNNNNNNNNNNNNNNNNNNNNNNNNNNNNNNNNNNNNNNNNNNNNNNNNNNNNNNNNNNNNNNNNNNNNNNNNNNNNNNNNNNNNNNNNNNNNNNNNNNUGGGGAACAUCAUAAUAUUGUGGGAGGAGUCAUUUGGUGGGUUUCGAGUGAAAUCCAAUCUCUAGAACUAUACAACACACCAACCACCCCAUUACAGAACGAACUUAGUAGGAACCUGAUUUGUCCGAUUUCAAGGACCAAUAGAUAUAGGAUUGACUCCAAAACUUGGGGAACAUCAUAAUAUUGUGGGAGGAGUCAUUUGGUGUGUUUUUAGUGAAAUCCAUUCUCUAGAACUAUACAAUACACCAACCACCCCAUUUCAGAAGGAACUUCGUACGAGCCUGAAUUGUCCGAUUUCAAGGACAAAUCGAUAUCGGAUUGAGUCCAAAACUUGGGGAACAUCAUAAUAUUGUGGGAGGAGUCAUUUGGUGGGUUUUGAGUGAAAUUCAAUCUCUAGAAUGAUACAAUACACCAACCACCCCAUUUCAGAAUGAACUUCGUACGAAUCUGAAUUGUCAGAUUUCAAGGUCCAAUCGAUAUCGGAUUGAGUCCAAAAAUUGGGGAACAUCAUAAUAUUGUGGGAGUUGUCAUUUGGCGGGUUUUGAAUGAAAUCCAAUCCCUAGAACUAUCCAAUACACCAACCCCUCCACUUCAGAAGGAACUUCAUACGAACUUGAAUUGUCAAAUUUCGUAGACCAAUCGAUAUCGGAUUGUGUCCAAAACUUGGGGAACAUCAUAAUAUUGUGGGAGCCGUCAUUUGGUGGGUUUUGAGUGAAAUCCAAUCUUUAGAACUAUACAAUACACCAACCACUCCAUUUCAUAACGAACUUCGUACUAACCUGCAUUCUCAAAUUUCGUGGACUGAUCGAUAUCGGAUUGAGUCCAAAACUUGGGGAACAUUAUAAUAUUGUGGGAGGAGUCACUUGGUGGGUUUUGAGUGAAAUCCAAUCUCUAGAACUAUACAAUACACCAACCACCCCAUUUCAGAAUGAACUUCGUAGGAACCUGAAUUGUCCGAUUUGAAGGACCAAUCGACAUCGGAUUGAGUCCAAAACUUGGGGAACAUCAUAAUAUUGUGGGAGGAGUCAUUUGGUAAGUUUUGAGUGAAAUACAAUCCCUAGAACCAUACAAUACACCACCCACUACAUUUCAGAACGAACUUCGUACGAACUUGAAUUGUCAAAUUUCGUGGACCGAUCGAUAUCGGAUUGAGUCCAAAACUUGGGGAGCAUAAUAAUCUUGUGGGAGGAGUCAUUUGGGGGGUUUUGAGUGAAAUCCAUUCUCUAGAACCAUACAAUACACCAACCACCCCAUUUCAGAACGAACUUCGUACGAACCUGAAUUGUCCGAUUUGAAGGACCAAUCGAUAUCGGAUUGAGUCCAAAACUUGGGGAACAACAUAAUAUUGUGGGAGGAGUCAUUUGGUUCGUUUUGAUUGAAAUCCAAUCUCUAGAACUAUACAAUACACCAACCACCCCAUUUCAGAACGAACUUCGUAGGAACCUGAAUUGUCCGAUUUCACGGACCAAUCGAUAUCGGAUUGAGUCCAAAACUUGGGGAACAUCAUAAUAUUGUUGGAGGAGUCAUUUGGUGGGUUUUGAGUGAAAUCCAAUCUCUAGAAUUAUACAAUACACCAACCACCCCAUUUCAGAACGAACUUCGUACGAACCUGAANNNNNNNNNNNNNNNNNNNNNNNNNNNNNNNNNNNNNNNNNNNNNNNNNNNNNNNNNNNNNNNNNNNNNNNNNNNNNNNNNNNNNNNNNNNNNNNNNNNNNNNNNNNNNNNNNNNNNNNNNNNNNNNNNNNNNNNNNNNNNNNNNNNNNNNNNNNNNNNNNNNNNNNNNNNNNNNUAAGGACCAAUCGAUAUCGGAUCAGUCCAAAACUUGGGGAACAUCAUAAUAUUGUGGAGGGAGCCAUUUGGUAAUUUUUGAGUGAAAUACAUUCCCAAGAACUAUACAAUUCACCACCCAGUCAAUUUCAGAACGAAAUUGAUGGGAACUUGAAUAUUCAAAUUUCAUGGACCAAUUAAUAUCGGAUUGAUUCCAAAACUUGGGGAAAAUCAUAAUUUGUUGGGGGUAGUCAUUUGGGGGGUUUUGAGUGAAAUCCAUUCUCUGGAACUAUCCAAUACACCAACCACCCCAUUUCAGAAGGAAUUUGGUACGAACCUGAAUGUCCGAUUUGAAGGACCAAUCGAUAUCGGAUUGAGUCAAAAACUUGGGGAACACCAUAAUAUUGUGGGAGGAGUCAUUUGGUUCGUUUUGAGUGAAAUCCAAUCUCUAGAAUUAUACAAUACACCAACCACCCCAUUUCAGAAUGAACUUCGUAGGAACCUGAAUUGUCCGAUUUCAAGGAGCAAUCGAUAUCGGAUUGAGUCCAAAACUUGGGGAACAUCAUAAUCUUGUGGGACGAGUCAUUUGGUGGGUUCUGAGUGAAAUCCAAUCUUUAGAACUAUACAAUACACCAACCACCCCAUUUCAGAAUGAACUUCGUCGGAACCUGAAUUGUCCGAUUUUAAGGACCAAUCGAUAUCGGAUUGAGUCCAAAACUUGGGGAACAUCAUAAUAUUGUGGAAGGA
rnacentral:lncRNA from 1 species